rnacentral:miRNA from 1 species
AAAUUUGCCAAGGACGAAAUAC